rnacentral:rRNA from 1 species
UACGGAGGGUGCAAGCGUUAUCCGGAAUCAUUGGGUUUAAAGGGUCCGCAGGCGGGCCAGUAAGUCAGUGGUGAAAGCCCAUCGCUUAACGAUGGAACUGCCAUUGAUACUGCUGGUCUUGAAUUCGGUCGAAGUGGGCGGAAUAUGUCAUGUAGCGGUGAAAUGCUUAGAUAUGACAUAGAACACCGAUAGCGAAGGCAGCUCACUAGGCCUGGAUUGACGCUCAGGGACGAAAGCGUGGGGAGCGAACAGG